CGAAGGGUACCAGGGCAUAGAAGUAACAACAGUUAGACAAGUAAACACUGUAAGAAGGCGGCGAGAUACGGGAAGCACUGCUGUAGACUAUGAAGUCAUGUAUGACUACAAAAAGCUGGAAGAAGCUGGAGGCGUGAAGACUGUUACCAGCCAACUCGAGGAAGACGUGAGGGCAGGACACUUUAAUGUUAGCGACGUGAAACCUACCUCGGACUCACUGACACAUUCAACUGAAGAAGAAAUUAGAGAAGCUGCCGUCAAAGUAGUACUGGAACAGGUUGCUGAAAAACCAGAUCUGAUUGAAGGGGGGCUGUGUGCCGUCGCCAAUUGCCCGAAUGGAUACGAAUGUAAACAAGACGAAACUACUGGUACCGCUGUCUGUGCUACAAAGUGUACAAAAGGUUAUUGUCACAACAACGGUACCUGUUUUCACACGGAGAACCAACCUGUUUA